rnacentral:rRNA from 1 species
AAAAGCAAUUUAAAGCAGGGAAGGAGAGGGUUAAUGGGUUAAUACCCCUUUAGAUUAGACGUUACCUGGCAGAAUAAGCACCGGGUUAACUCUGUGCCAGCAGCCGCGGUAAUACAGAGGGUGCGAGCGUUAAUCGGAAUUACUGGGCGUAAAGCGAGUGUAGGUGGCUCAUUAAGUCACAUGUGAAAUCCCCGGGCUUAACCUGGGAACUGCAUGUGAUACUGGUGGUGCUAGAAUAUGUGAGAGGGAAGUAGAAUUCCAGGUGUAGCGGUGAAAUGCGUAGAGAUCUGGAGGAAUACCGAUGGCGAAGGCAGCUUCCUGGCAUAAUAUUGACACUGAGAUUCGAAAGCGUGGGUAGCAAACAGGAUUAGAUACCCUGGUAGUCCACGCCGUAAACGAUGUCUACUAGCCGUUGGGGUCCUUGAGACUUUAGUGGCGCAGUUAACGCGAUAAGUAGACCGCCUGGGGAGUACGGCCGCAAGGUUAAAACUCAAAUGAAUUGACGGGGGCCCGCACAAGCGGUGGAGCAUGUGGUUUAAUUCGAUGCAACGCGAAGAACCUUACCUGGUCUUGACAUAGUGAGAAUCCUGUAGAGAUGCGGGAGUGCCUUCGGGAAUUCACAUACAGGUGCUGCAUGGCUGUCGUCAGCUCGUGUCGUGAGAUGUUGGGUUAAGUCCCGCAACGAGCGCAACCCUUUUCCUUAUUUGCCAGCGGGUUAAGCCGGGAACUUUAAGGAUACUGCCAGUGACAAACUGGAGGAAGGCGGGGACGACGUCAAGUCAUCAUGGCCCUUACGACCAGGGCUACACACGUGCUACAAUGGUAGGUACAGAGGGUUGCUACACAGCGAUGUGAUGCUAAUCUCAAAAAGCCUAUCGUAGUCCGGAUUGGAGUCUGCAACUCGACUCCAUGAAGUCGGAAUUGGUAGUAAUCGCAGAUCCGAAAGGUGCGAACAAUACAUC